GCCAAAUCAUAUUGAAACACUGGUUAUCAUAUGAUCACCAAAGUUAAGCAACAUCGUGCCUGACCAGUACCUAGAUGGGUAACUCCUUUGGAAUACCAGGUACUGUAAG